rnacentral:rRNA from 1 species
GAAGCGGCAAUAGCUCAAAUUUGAAAUCUGGCACUUUCAGUGUCCGAGUUGUAAUUUGAAGAAGGUAUCUUUGGGUCUAGCUCUUGUCUAUGUUUCUUGGAACAGAACGUCACAGAGGGUGAGAAUCCCGUGCGAUGAGAUGUCUAGAUCUAUGUAAAGUUCCUUCGAAGAGUCGAGUUGUUUGGGAAUGCAGCUCUAAGUGGGUGGUAAAUUCCAUCUAAAGCUAAAUAUUGGCGAGAGACCGAUAGCGAACAAGUACAGUGAUGGAAAGAUGAAAAGAACUUUGAAAAGAGAGUGAAAAAGUACGUGAAAUUGUUGAAAGGGAAGGGCUUGAGAUCAGACUUGGUAUUUUGUAUGUUACUCUCUCGGGGGUGGCCUCUACAGUUUACCGGGCCAGCAUCAGUUUGAGCGGUAGGAGAAUUGCGUAGGAAUGUGGCUCGGCCUCGGUCGAGUGUUAUAGCCUUCGUCGAUACUGCCAGCUUAGACUGAGGACUGCGGCUUCGGCCUAGGAUGUUGGCAUAAUGAUCUUAAGUCGCCCGUCUUGA